rnacentral:rRNA from 1 species
CUCAAUGAAAUUUCAAUAGCCGCAAUAUAAUUGUGCUAAGGUAGCAUAAUCAUUUGUCUUUUAAUUAAAGACUAGAACAAAAGAUUCAAUAUUUUCAUUACUCUCUUAUUAAUAUAUGUUUAAUUUAUCUUAAAUAUAAAAAGAUAUUUAUAAUAUAAAAAGACGACAAGACCCUAUUGAACUUUACUAAAGUUUAACUGGGGUAGUUAAUCAAAUAAAAUUUUAAUUUAUAUUUCGACAAAUCACCUAAUAUUAUUAAUUUACAUCAAGUUACCAUAGGGAUAACAGCGUAAUAAUUUUCUAUAGAUCUCAUUCAAAAAAUAAUUUACGACCUCGAUGUUGAAUUAAUAAUCUAUUAAAUGCAAUAAUUAAUAAGAAAGUC